AUUGAACGCUGGCGGCAUGCUUUACACAUGCAAGUCGAACGGUAACAGGUUAUGCUGACGAGUGGCGAACGGGUGAGUAAUGCAUCGGAACGUGCCCGAUCGUGGGGGAUAACGCAGCGAAAGCUGCGCUAAUACCGCAUACGAUCUGAGGAUGAAAGCGGGGGACCGUAAGGCCUCGCGCGAUCGGAGCGGCCGAUGUCAGAUUAGGUAGUUGGUGGGGUAAAGGCUCACCAAGCCGACGAUCUGUAGCUGGUCUGAGAGGACGACCAGCCACACUGGGACUGAGACACGGCCCAGACUCCUACGGGAGGCAGCAGUGGGGAAUUUUGGACAAUGGGCGAAAGCCUGAUCCAGCAAUGCCGCGUGCAGGAAGAAGGCCUUCGGGUUGUAAACUGCUUUUGUACGGAGCGAAAAGGCUCUCUCUAAUACAGGGGGCUCACGACGGUACCGUAAGAAUAAGCACCGGCUAACUACGUGCCAGCCGCCGCAGUAA
rnacentral:rRNA from 1 species